GACGAACGCUGGCGGCGUGCCUAAUACAUGCAAGUCGAGCGAAUCGAUGGGAGCUUGCUCCCUGAGAUUAGCGGCGGACGGGUGAGGAACACGUGGGUAACCUGCCCGUAAGACUGGGAUAACUUCGGGAAACCGGAGCUAAUACCGGAUACUUUCUUUUCUCUCAUGAGGGAAGAUGGAAAGAUGGUUCUGCGAUCACUUACAGAUGGACCCGGGCCGCAUUAGCUAGUUGGUGAGGUAACGGCUCACCAAGGCAACGAUGCGUAGCCGACCUGAGAGGGUGAGCGGCCACACUGGGACUGAGACACGGCCCAGACGCCUACGGGAGGAAGCAGUAGGGAAUCUUCCGCAAUGGACGAAAGUGUGACGGAGCAACGCCGCGUGAGCGAAGAAGGCCUUCGGGUCGUAAAGCUCUGUUGUUAGGGAAGAACAAGUACGAGAGUAACUGCUCGUACCUUGACGGUACCUAACCAGAAAGCCACGGCUAACUACGUGCCAGCAGCCGCCGUAA
rnacentral:rRNA from 1 species